UAUCGCGAUAGGCAUAUAGCACGAUGG
rnacentral:sRNA from 1 species